ACCGAAGCCCGUAGCCGUCCCCCGAGGGGGACGUGACGGGUGGCUGGUAUCCUCCUGUCGAGGGGUGUAUGGCGCAGUGUGGGCCGGCCUUCGGGUCGCGAAUCCCCAUGUCUGCGGCGGACCAUCCCUUGAGCAAAUCAGUGGGGGCAAUUGGAUGGCUCGCGGAUGCCUUUCGGCGGCUUCGGCCCCGCUAGGUCGCCCGGGCCGGGCGCAGGGUUUUGGCCCUAGCCCCGACCUCUUAACUAACUCUGACCCCCUCUUCGCUGAGGGAUCCGGCGGUCGUUUUACCUUCGGGUGAUCGGCUUCCCGGUUAAGAUAGUUACCUGGUUGAUUCUGCCAGUAGUCAUAUGCUUGUCUA
rnacentral:misc_RNA from 1 species